rnacentral:ncRNA from 2 species
GUGUGACCCCACGGGGGCCUCCGGCAGGAGGCUGAGAUCGGGCUAGGGCCGCUCGAGACCGUUGAACCUGAUCCGGUUGAUACCGGCGGAGGAAGAGAGGAUCGCAGAUGA